rnacentral:lncRNA from 1 species
AUCCCUUAAAGUUCCCCUUGAAUUUCUCUUAAAGCUAGCAUCUCCUUCUCUAAAGAGACUUUUGCAAGUCCUUUGCAAAAAUGAGAAUGUCAGAAAAGAGGACACUGCAGUUUUGAAUGCAGUUUAUGAGACUGAAGCUGAGGAAGGGCGUUUUCAGAAGGAUCAAAGACAGAAGAAAGACAGUUUUUACUAGACAAAAAGUGACAAGAGAGCUCCUCUAAGAAAAGAAAAGCUGCUUGCUUCAGCUCAGAAAGGGAGCAAAGAGCCUGGGCUCACUUCCAAAUGUGAAACUGUGGGAUUCCUGCACUCCUACAUAUGAGACCCAGACUGAACUCAAAGGACUGACCAGUUUACCUCCCCAACCAGACUACUUUCUUCAUAGUGCACAAUUGAAAUUGGAGUACACUCGGGUUUCCUUACUUUGAAAAAGCUCAGAAGGAGCAUUUACAUCUCCUAGUGAAAGACUGCAGAAUGGAGUUGAAAUUAAGUUAUUAGAGUUCACGAUUUGUCUUGGCCCAGAGCCUAAUCCAGUUUAUAAUCCAAGAUCUAUGUUGGAGUCUCUGCAUCAGUUUUCCAUGGAAAUAAAUCAGAGGCAUUGCUUUGGGAGCAACCUACAUGGAACUACACGUCUUACUGCUGCAAUUCAUAAACAGAAUAUUGACAAAUUCCUCAGAUUAUAAUUAUAACGAUCUGAAAAAUCAAAUGGCAAGAGUUUGAGAUGGGACUAGUUCACAUGUUGGAGUUGAAGUCAAAGAAGUCUGGACAAAUGGUGCUGAGUCAUGUAUAUAAUAAUUUCUUCAACAACUGCUUCCCAUAUUUGCAUGUUCAACUUUGCUAGGGAAACUUUUCUCAGUAUAUUUCAUGGACUCAGAUGUCAGAUCAAGGGAGAAACAUUCACUACAACCAGAGGUUACAGAGCUUAACAGACCUACAAAUUAACUUCAAGCUGUCGUUUGGUCUUAGAUAUGGUGAGCUUAAGCUUAUGGUCUUUUUUAAUUUAGAAAGACUAACAGGGAAAAAUGACAUGCAGAGUGACAGUCUUACAGAACUCUAGGAAUGGAUAUUUUAUAUGUUGAAACUAUGUCUGUACCAUUUUGAAUAAAGGCAAUUAUAUUCAUAUCUGGCUGAAAAUUAACCUGUAAUCUGCUAGGAUGUGAUGUGUAUAUUGAACAACUGCUAGGGGCAAAGAUCUGAAGUUUUUGUUGUUUGCAGAGAUCAUAUCUAGCUCUUCUGUGCCUCUAAUUCUAAACUUCUUGCACCUUGAGUACUGCAUUCAGUUUUGGGCCCCUAACUACAAGAAAGACAUUGAGGCCUAAGGAAUCUGGAGCACAAAUCUUAUGGAGAGCAGCUGAGGGAACUGGGGUUGUAUAGUCUGGAGAAGAGGAGGUUCAGGAGAGACCUUAUCGCUCUCUACAUCUACCUGAAGGGAGGUCGUGACAAGGUGAGUAUUGGCCUCUUCUGCUGCAUAACUACUGAUAGGCUGAGAGGGAAUGGCCUCAAGUUGCACCAGGGGAGAUACAGGUUGGAUAAUAGGAAAAAUUUAUUCUCUGAAAGUGUGGUCAGGUACUAGAAUGGGCUGCCCAGGGAGGUGAUUGAGACACCGUCUCCAGAGAUGUUCAAGAAAUGUUUAGAUGCUGGGGCAUGGUUUAGUGGGGAAAUAUUGGUGGUAGGUGGAUGGUUGGACUUGAUGAUCUUGGAGGUCUUUUCCAACUUUGGUGAUUCUAUGAUUCUGUGAUUCUAAAAGAACAGUUGCUGCAGUUUUCCCAAAUCUUUAAAAACUUGAGGUGGACUAUGAAGAAUGUAAAAUUGACUUUGAAUAGAUUUCAAUGGAGAAUGCAGUGAUAUGUUUGCCAAAUACUAAAUGUGAAAGUGUUAUGUUGAAAUCUCACAUGGAAAUACAUAUAACAAUGUGAAAACUGUGAAGGAAUCAUUAGUAUAUUUAGCAUUUAAUAUAUUUUUUCAGGCUCUCUGUCAAUAUUUUGGAUGUUAUUUAGAGUUCUUUUAAUAUUAUUAUUUUUUUAAUGAAGAAAUUACACCUCGGAGUGAGAAGUGUAUUUAGUACAUGAUUUUGGGGUUUCACUUGCUGCACAAAGCUUAAUUAAUGGUUCAGAAAAAACAGACUUUCUCUGCUCCGGCAAAGAAUUAACCUGAGUUUUGAGAAAAGAGUUUAAUAGAGCGGUACAAAAUACUACUUCAGUAUUCCUUCCCAACCAGUUAUUUGUGCAGAUGUGAAUUAACGAACUGUUAUAAAAGUGGUGUGAUUUCUGUCUUCUCAUUUAAAGAGCGAUGAUGGCCAACAUUUCUUAUAGUGCUUUACCAUUAAGAAAUAUUAGUGUACUAAUUAAAAAUCAUUGCAUAACUUUUAAGAAUAAACUUCUUAAAAUUAUUAGGAAAGGUGGAACUUUAUUCCUUGUGAAAAAGAAGCAUGAUUGUUCUUCCUCAGACAUUAUCUGAAUCUGCUAGAACUGCUCACAUCAGAAAGACCAAUGGCUGGAAAUGUUGAUAUUACUAGAAGUACUGUCAUAGAUGUUUAGAGAAAUGUAAUUGUUUACUUAUAAGCAUUUGUUUAUACAUUCUGCUGUAGUUGAAGUUAUAUCACAAUAUUUCUGCAGAAACAAAUUUUGAUGUCUGAAACUAGAGUUCUGUUUCCUUUCUAUGGCAAGAUUCUAGGUAUUGAUACUAGUCUCACUGGGUGUCAUGAAAUCACGAAUCUUUCUUUCUGGACGUAUGCAUCAGGUAGGCAUUUAAUUGGCAUUUCUCUUUAAAAAAAAGUAGCUGCCUUAAUGUCUAAUGACUGAUUUGCCCUUCAUGAUACAUAAAUUGGUAGUAGCUUUUUUUUAUAUACAAAGAAAUACUCAUUCCCAUAGAGAAACCUUUUUCUCUUUCCUGAAUGAAAUGACACAGAUCUACAGUUUUCUGAGCCAAGCUUAUAAAAGGUUGUUACAAACGGAGCACAAUUGUGGGAGGUAGGGAUCUCAAAUUCUAAUUUAGGCAUUCUUUGAGGUAAAGAACUUGUGAUGCUCACUUUCAACUGUCCGAACACUCUUAUGUUUUUGAGAUAUAGGCUAACAUAGAGACUAGGAGGCAUAUAAGCUUAUAUGAUUCUCUGUACAGGGUUAGAUAUCAUUCAGUUUUGCUAUUGCUUUGUGUUUGUAAAUGUUUUAAAAUAUAAUGCCUUGUGUAAGAGCUAAAUCUUUUCAUAGCUUAAGUAGUUCUAGUAAAAUAGCAGAUUUUCCCUAAUCAUUUUAAUUACAAAAAGCAAUUGAUAAUCUCUCUCUUCUUUGGACAGAGAGAGCUUUUGAUUUACAUUUCUGUGCAUCUCAUUCUUUUUCUGAAAGCCUGUGUACACUACAAAAAAUUGAAAUAUUUUUCUUCAUAGGAGCAGCAUACAUAUAGGCACACAGAAACUUCAGUGUCAUUAUGGCUCUAUCCUUUUGAAAGCCUACUUUAAAAAAAAAUAAGGACCUAGUAUUUCUAAAGUCCUUAAGAAGGGAAAGAAGCUGCUGCAGACUUAGUUGAAGUGGUAUGACAGUAUUCCAUUACACAUUUGCCAUUUGAUUCUCCUGAGUAAAGCUUCACUAUAAUUGAACUCUACAUGUUUUGCACUUUGUGAACUCAACUGGUACCUCAUGCUUUUCUGAAGGAUGUAAAUGUAUUUAAACACUCACAGGUUAUGCAGUUUGUGAAAAUGGUACCGAACAGCUAUCUAUGGAUGUACUCUAGAAUAUUUGUGUUUCAGAUCAUCUCAUACUUUGCUGCUUCAUAGCAAAUAUGUAGGAGGGGCAUGAAGGGAUGAUAAAUACAUAGCAGAGAAGCUCAGCGAAAUCUUUCCAUUGGCAUUUAGCACUGAGACUCCAACACCUGAUGCACUUCUGUAGUAGAUAGACUAGAAUAUGUAGGUCAGUUUGAAGUAACUACAUCAAAAGUAUUGCUUCAGUCAGGCAUAUUAGACAGACUAGACUUGACUCAGUGUCAAGUGGUGGACAAUAAGCCACCAAAAUUUUGGACAUGUUUAGAAAAGUUAGUGAGAUUAUUCUUAGAAACAAAGAACACCCGAAUGGAGAGUACAGAGUACAUAACUGGUGUACCCAUACCCUGAGUCUCAUGUGUAGUUUGGUCUAGAUAUCUAAGGAAGGGUGUAGCAGAGUUGAAAGAAGUGUGGAGAAAAACAAGUAAAAUAUUUGAAGUGAUAGAGCAGAUGCCUUCUGUAGACACACUAAAAAGCUGGGAGACUUAAUUUAGAAGCAGAGAAGGCUGUGGGAGAAUAUGACAGAAGGUAGAUAAGUCAUAAACUGAAUACACAGAAUUUGUUCACAAAAUACCACAAUAUUAGGCCCCUGGGAACUUGAAAUCAGUUGAGGUUUUAUUUAAAGCUGGUGAAAUGAAGUUCUUUACACAGUGAACUUCAGAAACUGGGGUCAUUGGAGAAGGUGGAAGCAGCCAGUACUGGAAGGUUUAUGAAGGGGUAAAGCUCUCACAAAUGAGCCCUUAACCCUUUUAAGGCUGGGCAGAGUUGUAUCAACUGACAAUAUUCAUAAAACCAUUCUGUACACUGAGGAUGCGUAUAAGGGGAUUGAACUGCAGAAAGUGGCCAAGUUAUGUGCUCUCUUUGAAUGUCAACUAUUGAAUAUUGCACGAGUACACUCUUUCCUCUGAAGGAAAUUUACUAAGUAUCCUCAUUUUUGUCCAGCCAAAGAGUUUUGCAUGUGGUUUCUUUCAGAGUAUGUCCAAACUGCUCUUUAAACAAGACUGAAAUUUUUGUGUCUUUAUGAAUGAGGAUUGAAUAUUCCUUUGCAAUACCCAGGCUACCUCAUCCAGUGUGGAAGUAUUGAAUGAUUCCUAUGCAGAAAACAAAACAGCAUACAGGUUCUGCUAAGUCUGAUCAAGAAACAAUGAGGUGAUAUGUCCUGAAAAAUUCAGUCAUUGCUAAGAAUUCAGUACAAUUCGUUCAAAAUAGUGGAAUUAGUGAUAUCUUGACUGAAUGGAGAAAGAAACUUGUACGGUUUUGUUUCUGCAGACAGUAAGAUAAGUAACAGUUAUGGACUAACAUCACUGGUAGCAAUGUACAGCAAAUUAAUGAGAAAGCAAAGUGUCAACAGACUUCUGGGCAUACAAUAAUAACAAACAUAGUAGAAGAGGAAUCCAAUAUCACAUCUUAUGCCAUUUACUUAUUUGCCAACUUACGUUUCCACAGGCCACUGAAAGCAAUAGCCGCUUGGUUAUGGCAGAAGGUUACAUAUUAUAAAAUAUUUUAGUGCUUCUUUCCAGAGUCAGAAGUACAUAUAUAAAUGAAUUAGAGAAUUAAUAGAAGGGUGCAGGAAACCUUAAAAUCCUUGCUUCUAAGAGAUUAUAGUGAAAAAUAAUAAACAGAUAUCAAAGAGAAAAGGUGUGUUUGAACUACUUCCACCUGUUAAGUAUAAUAAUCUCUCUUUCAUUUUGAACAGUUUUGAAGCAUCAAACACCUUGUGAAUUUCUUACAUAUCUGGGCUUUGGAAGCCUGAUGUUGUACAGGGUAAAUAUUUAAAUCUUUAAGGUGGGUACUGAUGUGAGUGGAGAAUACAAACAUAACAACUAUGCAUUGCAAUAAAUGAUAAAGUGAGAUUGUUGAGUUUUAGCAGUGCAAGAAUUACAUGACAUUAGCAGUAUCCAAUAGGUCUUGGAUGGAGAAAUCUUAGUAAAGGCUUUCUGUUCAGACAUGGUUUUAUAAGUAACAUACGUUAUUCAGGUGUGGAUAUAUGAUGAGAUUUUUUAGACUGUUGCAUUAUUCCAAUAUUAACUUUAGCAUAUACCUUUGAUAGUGAUAACUCCCAAUUUAUGCAGUGACUAUGGUUAUGGUCAACUGAGUAACCCAUGAAAAGAAUUCCACAUGAUGAUUUAAAAAUAGUCAAAUAUUCUAAUUUUUUUCACAUAAUUAUGUGAAAAAAUAUAUAAAUACAAUUUUAUAUUACUUAAGAAAAUAGUUUUUAUUCAGGAAACUUACAUAAGACACUGAAUGAAUUGAACAUAUAUAUUUUAAUGACAAGCAAACAGCAAUAAAAUUAGGAACACGUUAAAGUUUGUCCUGCAUAUCCCUAAAAGAAUACUGAAAAAUAAUUCAAGAGAAUUGUUUUCUAAAACCUAUUGUGUAUUUGUUUAGAUUUUAUAGAAAAUAAUGAUCACAUGAAGCACACCGCAUCAAUUAGGUUUAUAGAAACAAAACACUGUGUUAAUAGUAAUAUGCAAGUAAAUUAACUGUUAUCUCACACUCUUAAAUGUAUUAGUAGUAAUAUUAAACUUCAGUGUAACUGAAAGUACUGCUAAAUUUAAAGCAAAUAUCUGAUUUUUAAAUUGACAUUAAUUGAAGCCCCAAUCUCUCUCUCCCUACCUCUGUAAUCGAUUAGGUUUGAAUACUUACACAGCAAAUCUCUGAAGUCAUUUCAGACCCAGCGUUUGUGUGCAGAAAACAUUACAUAAGUCAUUUCAAAUACUAAAAAAAAAUAGAGAAAAUUUAAUUGUGGAUUAGAAAAAAUCGUUGAAUAAAUUAUAUUUAUUAUAUUUUCUGAAUGAUUUCCUCUUUAAUAAGCAGACACGCCAGUAGAAAACAGCCAUUGGAAUAUCUAUUAUCUCUUCAUCCUUUUAUCCUCUUGCAAUUCUCUUGGGGAAGCAUACAUGUAUAUGCUGCAUGAAAUGUUAUUAACUGACAUUAAGUCUCUCAUCCCCUUAGGCCGUGGAUUUUUUCCUGCUACUUUACUGACCAUUAAGCAGCUCUUGUGGAUGUGAUCUGGAAAUUAUUGUAUUUAUACCUUAUAGAGCACAUGUAUUAAACCGCUCAUUAGGUUUUGAUAUUACAUGACUUCAUAAGCCUCAUAUGAGCUACAGCAGCAAUUAUGUUUUAGUAUAAUGAUGUGAAAAGGACAAACUAUUGGUUCUUUAAAUGUGUGCCGAAGUCUUUUAAAAUAUUAUCUGUCAUCUCUAAGGUGUCUGUUUUUAACUCUUCUUCAUGUCAUAACUAAGUAUGAUUAAGGACAAAGUAAGACUGCCUGCUUUGAGUGCUGUCAGAAGCCACAGGGAACCUUUUUGCUCCGGCUGACUUGCACUGGUGGAAGGCAAUACUUUGUGGCUUGUGCUUUGAGAGGGAAAAUUAAGAUGGUGCUACAUGUCCAGACAUGCCUCUGAAGAAUGUUGGAAAGUUGACUAUCUAAGUUUGUGCAGCAAAGGAUUUGCUGAUAGAUAGCAUGAGAGGUAGCAUGGUGAGAAGGAAAUUAUACCUAUUGCACAGAUACCUCAGCUGCAUUCUCCACCAAUUAUUUUGAAAAUAUUUUGCUGUUUGUACCCUUCUUCUUUAUAACAGCACCAGCAGAGCACCAACUAGAAUGCAUCUAUCUCCUUCUUACUUUCCAGUUUUUCUCAGGUGUCUUAGAUCAGAAGAUUUCAACCAAUUUUAAUAUUCAUUCUAUUUAAAACAUUGUCUUUUUUUCCCCCAAAUCUUAAAGGCUCAAAACAGUUCCCCAUGGGAAAACUAAAGACUGUACCAACACAAGAAUCUCAUUAUCUUUUGCACCUGCACUUUCUGUCUAUUUUUAUAUUUUAUGAUGCUGCAGUUCUUUCUACAGUCAUACUGACUGCAUUAAAUUAUGUAAAGGCAGAGUCUUGUGACACCUCUGAACCAACAGGCAGGAGAAUACAAAAUCUUUCUUUUGCUCUCACCCUGACUCAAAAUUAAAUUCCAAAAAUUAUAUGCAAAUAAUAUCACCACUCUCAGUUUAAUGAAUGGAAUCAAAGAACGGCAAGGGCAAAGACGUAAGUUUUAUCCUCUGCUAGUACUGAAGAAUUAGCACUAGAAUUAGUAUGAAUUUGCAUUACUAAAUGAUCAUUGAAUGACAUGAUAACUGGGUGCAAUUCAAGUUUGUUAAUAUUUCUAAACGAUAGCAUCGUUUUUUUUGCUUAAGGCUCAGGGCUGAACAAGGAGCACUGACUUCCCUGCCACAGACUUGCAAGGUGACCUUGACAAAUCACAGAACAUAUCUGUACCUCAGUGUGAGACGGGAGAAAUUAAAACAUUUCCUAGCUCACAGAGGCAUUGGUAAAGCUCAGUUAAUCAAAGUCUUUCAAGAUCUUUAGACAGAAUAAUCUAGAUAAGAGCAAAGUAUUAUUAUUCUUACUAAAGAGGACCUCUCCUGAGCACUUAAUUUUUCAUUUUAUACAAACUUUUUUGCUUAUUUACACUGUCAGCAUACAGAGUGAUAGAUCCUUCUGACCUGAUUUGUGUGAAGCUUGUCAAGAUACAGAUGUUUUUAGCACUAUAUCCCUGUUAGGAUAUGACACAAUACAUCAUAACAGCUCCAUCAGAGCCAUUAGGGUGUAAGUUGUCAAUGCAUAAUAAGAUUACUAUGCGUUAUAGCAGGUGGUGCUCAAAUAACACUGAAGCAUGAACACUGUGGUAGCAUCUAGAAUCCCUUUGAAUACUGGUGUUGCAAUACCUUUCUAAUGUAUCUAGCAUUAUCUUUUUGUAGUAAAAUAUUUCUUGUUGUGCAUGAAGAACUAUUUUUUUGGUAAAAUAAGUAACUGUUACAUUUUUGUUGUUUCAGAAAACGUAGAGGUCUACAAAUGUUUCUGUUUGCAAAAGAAGUUGUUUUUGUUUAAAUGAAGGGCAAAGCCUGCCAACAACUCUGUAAAUAUUAGCCAAAUAUGUUCAAAGUUUUACUGUUAGAAAACCAGCCUGUAAGAAGUUUGGAUUCAAAAUGGCUAUUGAAACAGUACUGUCAAAAGGUUCUAUUUAUAGAUUUUAUAUACAUACAUAUAUAAAUAAAUGGAAAAUGUUGUUUUAUGCACAAUAUUAAUGAGUAUAAUUGAGCCUGGAAAAAUGAGACAUUCAAAUAAUUUUAAGUUGGUGUCUGAAAAACUCUGCUGGUUUUCUAUCUAGGAAAGACAUCAAGGAAAAGAAUCAGCAGAACUUGCAGAGAAAGACUCAAUACUGCUAGGUUUGUACCUCCCUGUCAGUAUAACCUAUGAGCAUUACCCAUUCACUGGUGAAUUUAUGCUUCUCAUGCAUUUGUGAAGGAUCUCUUCUUAAGGAGAACUGAAAAACUGGCUUAUUGAGGAUCACGAUAAAGUCUGUAGCAGAACAUAGAGGAAAAGUGAACUUUGCUGAUAUUUUCAUAUCAUCACUAUUAAUCUGUAAUUCAAUGUGUGAAGCUUUUUCACAUUAUUGCAUUAUUCCUGAAAUGCACUCCAAGCAGGCAAACUGGCAAGCUACAGUGACAUACAUACACAUAUGUAGAUUUUGCAUGAGGUCUUAUAUGUGCAUUCACAUCUGCCUGUAUGGAAGCAGGUUGAGGUAGGUCUUUUAUAAAGUGAGAGAUGAAGGAAAAGUGCAGAAUUCAAAUGCUUACAAUGUUUUCAAGCCUUUGCAGAGAAGAAUGAGGUGAAUGGCUUCAAAGAAAAUUUUUCAUAUUUAGGCAUUACUGCAUCUUCAGUAGGUAUGAGUCCUCCUAAACAUGGAAGUUAUAGCCUCUCCCAGUAAGAUGUAUAGUGACUGUGUGAGAUGUAUGAUUUUCUUUCUGUGCAGUAGAGGCAACAGGCAGGGACUGACCUAUGAUCAGAAAAGUCCAAUAAAUUUUCCAGGAAUAUAUAUUCCAAAUGAUAAAAAAUUGAGUAAGAAAAGGAAACAGUCCAGUCAUUUUUCAUAAAUGUGUUGUUCAAAGACUUCCUCAUAAAAAAUCAAAUAUCUUUCUGGUACAGCAAAGAAAGGUAAAUAAGAUAUGCAUUCUGACACUUACACAGAAUAACAAGCAGGAAACAUGCUGUGGUCCUUGAAGAAGACAUAGAGUACAAAUAAAUAAAAGAAAAUACAGAAAAGGAAAGAAAAAAUUAAAGAAAAAAGAAGAAUGGGGAGGAACGUCAAUGAUAUGACCCGUGGCAUGAAUACAGUCUCUUUCUGUUAUUACAGCAAACAGAAAGAAGUUAGAAAUAGAAAUGCUUUCAAAUAAAGGCUAACAUGGGGGAAACAAUAAACUGAAGGGAAGACUUGCUCAUCUAAAAGACUAUCUAACAAAAUAACUUGGAAAUAACCUUCAUUGUUUUUUACUCAGGUUAGAGUAGAGUAGUUCACAUGGAGGAGAGAAGUCAAAGAUGAAUUGAAUUUGCUCAGGAACAAAAUUUCCACUCAUAAAAAUGGGAGCUUGUACUGGAAAGAAAAAAAAUAUAUGAAAUGCUGGGAAUGAUCUAGACCAAGUAGCAAAGAGUGAGAGUUCUGAAAACAAACCUAUCUUUGUUUCCUCCAUGUAAAGUUUGUUAAAAAAAAGAAAAAAAAAAAAAAAGAAAUGUUUAAGAUCUAGAAGUCUUCUGCAAAUGAUAUUAAAGGAGGCUAUUCUUAUAGAUCUAUAAAGCCAAAGGCUAAGUAAUGGUGGAAGAAAAGGAGAAAAGUUUAUUCUAACACCCUCCCAUGCUGAGCAAGAACACUGAAGACCAUAUCUUUUCAAAAGCAACAUUUGCUGAGACAGCAGGAUUUUUUUUUCCAGAAAUUAAAUUCUUCUUUGCCCCCAGUACAAAGCUGAAUAUUUUUUCUUGGAAGGCUAUUUCUGAGCCACAACCCCUAGACUGUUAGAAACCUUUUAAUUUCCAGCCUAAACUUACUCAUGAACAGUCUAUAUCUAUUUGUUUUUGUGCCAGCACUGUCCUUUUGUGUUAAUUGUACAUCUAUAUCAUGUAGCUAUUUGUAGGUUAUUUCGUAUUUCAAAAGAUAAUAUCAGUAUUUUUAAAAGAAAUCACCAGCUGAGAUUCUGAGGAUAAAAUUAGUUGUUGCAACAGCUGUUUGAUCAUAAAGUUAUUGUCUAAAAAGCUUAUGAACACAAUAAGAUGUGAUUUCACUUCACUUUAGGGGGAAAUAACAUGCUGUAUCUUUUUAUUACUUCUAUUUAUGACAUUCAGUAAUGAAAUAGAGUUAAAAUAAUUUUCAGGAAAACAGAACUUGAUUUAAGAAUAAAACAGACUAGAUGAAGUCUUUAUUCAUUCAUUAAAGGCAAGAGGCUAUUUUUCAACCUUUAUUCAAGAAACUUGAUGAAGUUUUCUUUUGGGUCUGGUUAAUUGUUUGGCUACAGUAUUUAUCAGUAUGACAACUGAUUGACAACUGCAUAACAACCAGCUACUUCAGAAGCAGAUUUGCACAAGUGGAUUUUUGAAGGAAGGAAAUUGAAAGUGUCAAGCUGAGAGAAUGAAGAGUGUCCAGGUCUAUGCAAACAUACUGUUGAGAUUAUACUGCUAGGUUGUAAGCCCUUCUGAGCAAUGAUAGUCCCUUUCCAGAUGCCUGUGAGCAUUACCUAUCUUUAAUGCAUUAGUAUAUAGAAAACAUACAUGUUUUCUCUCUUUCCUCUUCAAAGGAAAAAUGCAGAGUAAAUUUCAGUCUGUCAGAAUCUUUAGGAAACAUUACAGGGAUUUCCCUGCAGCACUUUCAUUUCUAUGCAGAACAAACUGAAGAGGUGCAAAGCAGUAUAUCAGAAAUUCUGUUUCUUGGUUGUAUGAAACUUCAGAUUUACCUUCCUAUUCUCAUUAUUAAUUACCUGCAAACCCUCCAAGAACACUUUCUGUGCCACAGCUGGACACUUUUUUCUCUACCCUCAUCUGCCAAAAGGUUGGUACUCUGUCAGAGAUGAGCUGGUGUCUCAUUUCUCUCUAUCCCUCUGUUUUUUCUCUUGCGCAUUCUGGCAGCGCAGGGCUCUUCUUUAUUAACCUUUUCCAACUGAAUAAGCCAGAACAACACAUGACUUCUGACCUGAAGCAAUACAGCCAAGUGAGUAGGCUGGCUAUCUAUUUGCACUGCCUUUCUACACGAGGUCCUUUUCCUCGGUAGACAUAAUGUACCAGAGAUGUAUUAGAGAUAAGGAUAAUGUGUCUGUCUGCCUGUUCUCCCUAUAGCUUUGGGAGACAAGCAGGAUGAAUAUGAGAGUGCAGUGGUAUGGGCCAAAUGCAAUGAGACUCCCACAAAUAUGGUGAGAUAAAAUGCUGUGAAGUCUCUUCAUUUAAUUGUAUAAUCCUCCACACUGAUCAAGGAAGAAAACUUAGGGUCAUUGCUCAGUGAAUUGCCUUACAAUGCACGACAAUUACAUUGGAAGCAAAACAAAGGUACCAGCUUAUAAAGAGAAAAAGAAAAAAGAAAAAAAAAAAAAAAAAGGAAAUCUCUAGUUCAGUUGGACAGAUUUGCAAGGAUCUUCGAAAAUGUGAAGGAAAUGGCUUUCUUCAAUCAGUUGUGUCUGUGUGGAGAGUGAAGGUGAAUAGUCUCAGCUCAGGAGGAAUGUAAUUUGGAAAGGCACUUUGGAGUUUCAAUGACUAUGUGAAGGACAGUACUUCCAGUAACAUUUAGAAACAUUCUGAGUGGAGAGAAGAUGAAAAGAAAAACCAAAACCAAAAACAAAACCACAACCAAGCAAAACACUUAGUUGUUUAAAAAUGCAUCCAUUUUCUCAUGUUUUGUUUUUUUUUUUUUCUUCUGGAAAUCAAUGCUGCAAGUUAUUGUUGUUAAUUGUAAUGAGAUCAUAAGUUUAGAAAACAUUCCCUCAUAAAAAAACAAAUGUCUUUUAAUAAAGUAUGAGAAUUGUGGAAUGACUAUUGGUAAUAAAAAUGAAAUCUGACAAAGAAUACAGAAUAGCCACAGUGGGGAUAACAGAUAUAUUUCUUUGGAACUGUUAGCUGCAUUAACAUCAUAUAAAACUGUGUUCUAAGAUAUCUGAGUUCUAUGUGAAGGAUCAUAUGUAAAUUUUAACUAAACUGGAGCCAUUAUAUUAUCAUAGGUACAAUGUGCUAGAUAGAAGGCUGUUUCACAUCCACUGAAUAGAUGUGUAUGUUCAUGCAUGUAUGCAUAGCUGUAUGUCUAUAAAUAUAUUCAUAUGUUUAGAGAAAACUUGAACUGGUGGAAAACUGAAAGGACAGGAGGAAAGCAUAGUUUGACUAAAAAGCUAGUUGUUCCAUCUUUCUGUUUCUUUAUUCACCAUAUUUACAUUUUAAUCAGAAGUUGGACUCAAUCCUUAGGCAUCCCUUCCAACACGGGAUAUUCUAUGAUUCUAUGAUUCUAUAUUUAUUUCCCUGCUCACUUCUUUUGUAUAAAACCUACUUUCUAAUUCAGUUGGGUAACUCAUCUUUAAUAUUAUUUUAACAGAUCUUGUCUUACUUUCAUGGAGUAGUCACAGCAAAGGUUGCAUUGUAAAAGAAAAUUGCCUCACUACUGCACUGGGUUUUCUAAUUAGUAUAUCUGGUACCACCAUUGGAUAUUUGGAGAAGAAGAAAAGAGAGAGGAAAGAGAGACCACUGUUAAUCACCCCUUACUAGUAGUUGAGGCCCUCAACUUGUUAUUUAAUUUUCAGUUUUACAUACCUCGAUUUCAGAAAACAAAUGAUAGAAAAAGAACCUCAGCUGCAUACCCCGGCUUGCAGGCAAACCUCUUCUAUAAAUAUGUGACCAUUUUAUGAAACUGUAUGGAAGAGAAAAUACGACUAUGAACUUAUGAACAUGUCGAGUGUUUCCCAAAAGAGUUUUAUGGUUUUAUGAUCUAUGAGUUGAAUCAACUCAAAGGAAACUUGAUUUUAUUAAGAACAGCAUCUCAGAACUCAUCUGUGGGUUUGGAUUUCCAACACACUCCUGUAAAUUUGUUGAAUUAUUUAUUUGCAGUGAUGAGACGAGAACAGGAUUCUUCAAGUGGGCUGUACAGUUUGCAUGUCUUACAAAAAAUCUGAUCCAGAAAGACAGAUCUCCAUCAUUCUUAUAUAAGUCUUUUAUAAAUUUGCCCACUGUUAUUGUAAAAUUAGUCUUUUUACAGGAGUGAAAUUUCAAAUUGCUGAAACACUUUCCUGUAGAAUCAUGAAGUGAGAAGAAAAAAUUGAGAAGUAUUUCUGCCUGUAUGAGGAAACACAUGAGCACUGAUACAGAAGGUAUCAAGCCAGCUUGCUGACCAUUGCUUCUAGGACAGCUGGAAGGUCAUGGGAAAUAUUCCACUUCACCAUUCCAAAAUCCUUGCCAUUCCAGUUUGCCUCUUUUCAUUAUUUUUAUUAUACAGAAGCCCAGCAUGUUGUUAGGUCUUUGACAAGGAUUUGAACAAAAUUUAAUAUAUAACUACAUUAUUGAAGGAGUCAUAGAAUUAUAGAAUCAUAGAAUGGUUUGUCUUGAAAGGGUUUCUUAAGAUCCCUAGUUCCAACCUCUCUGCUAUAAGCAGGGACAUCUCCUACUAGACCAGGUUCCUACAUGCCCUCAUAAAAAGUGGCCUGAUAGCUGCCUUUCAGUAUCUAAGGGGGACCUACAGGAGAGAAGGGGACAGACUCUUUGGCAGGGUCUGUGAUGAUAGAAAAAGGGGAAAUGAUUUCAAACUAAAAGAGAGGAUAUAAGGAAAAAGUCUUUUACAGUGAGGAUGGUGAGGCAUUGUAACAUAUUUCCCUGAGAAAUGGUGGAUUCCCUCUCCCUGGAGACACUGAAGAUCAGGUUGGAGGAGUUCUAAGCAACAUGAUCUACCUUUGGAUAUCCUUUUUCAUUGCAAGGAUGACCGUUAAGGGUUCCUUCCUACUCAAAUGAUAUAUGAACUUGAGCACACCCUUUCUUUCUUCCACGAUUACCCACGGAAUAUGAAAGUAAUAGAAUGUCUACUGCAUACUUGCUUUCCUUACCCCUGCCUCUCCCCAGGUUUUGCAGAUUGUAUCUGCAGUUGCAUUUUUCAUCACUUCCUCUUGAGAUUGUGGGAAAGUGAGGACAAAGUAUGACAUUAAAAACAAUUUGACUCUAAAAGGAAAAAAUAAACCAGACUAUUGCUAGGAAAACAUUAUUGAAAAUCCUAUGAAAAUAUAAAUACAAUUUAUUUUGGUAUCCUUAAUCCUCUUAAAAUGGAAGAAUUAAGCCCAAGAAGCUGUUUAACUGCAUGUAGAAAUCAUGGUGAAUUUAUCUUCAUUGGGUGACCUCAUCAAAUUAUUCUCCACUGCUGUGAUUUUUUUUGAAGACAGCUCAAUAACAUUUGACUCCCAGUUCCCAUUAGAAUUUAAUGAGAACUGGGCCUCUAAGUCCCCCAGAUUCCUUUGAAAAUAACCCAGCCUAUGAUAAAAUAAUACAGUUCUGUGCAUCCUUAAUUUCUGACAGCAUGUUCAUGUCUGGAAUAUUGAUUGCAACUGCUACUGCCAAGCACACAGAUCCCAUCACUCUUGCCUGCUUUUCCAUUAUGUCAUAAAUAGAUAGCACAGCUCAAUAGAUCAUACAGAUAGAUGGAGCUGGACUACUUACAUGGACUUGCAGGAAAAAACAACUAAUAAUAACCAAGUAUCUAACUUGAUUGGACAAAUUACUUGAAUGAUUUUUAAAAGCUCUGAAAUGAGUAACUUCGAAGAGUGAAUAACGGCGAAAACAAGGCCAGGUCCAACAGUAGUAAUUAGAUUCAAGUAAAAAAUAAAACUCAAUUGGAAAGUUUUAAAGUCUUUGUAUUAUGCAAGUAACCUGGCAAGUUUGUGGUACCAGAAAUGGGAGUUCAAUUAAAUAUUUGGAAAGCCAAAAAAAAAAAAAAAAAAAAAAAAAAACAACCCAAAAAACAAAAAACAAACAAACAAAACAAAACCCAAAACCCAAAACAAACAAAACAACAACAAAAAACCAGACAUGCAAGCAGAAUCAUUUAGUAUCCUGCUAAGCUGAAAACACAUUCAAACUAAAACGAGAACUCAGGUGGUUGAAUAAGCAAUAGGAAAAAAGGAACAGAGUUGUCAAAAUAAAAUAUAUUUCAGACUGACUUGAGUAAAAUUUUAAUCCUUGAUUUCAUUUUUCGUGUUUGUACAUUUGUUCCCAGCAGUAAAAUCACAACAUCAUUUCACAGAAAGGUAAGGAAAGGAAAGGAAAGGCAAAGAAAAAGUGCUGGUGAUUCAGCCUCCAGGCUCUCCAUAAAACCUACUAGGAAGCAGAAUGCAAAGUUGUUUUUGUAUGUCCUACUGUGACUUAUCAUGUUAUUAGAAGUCUAUUUCCUCAUCUUUCUGGGGAAAAAAAAGAAAAAAGGGACAACUCAGGAAGAUCACUGUUGGGCUUCAUUCUUCCAUGGAAUUAAAAAAAACGAAACAAAACAAAAAAAAUCCAAAGCAAACAACAAAAAAAGCAACCUGUACUCAGCAGCUAUGGUUUGCAACACUGCACCAAGAUUAGGUUAGAUAUUCAUUUUAAGAGCAGGCCAUUACUUUUGCAGUACUUCUGCAGGAGUAAGACUAAGGAAAUAGCCUAACAGAUCUCAUUCAUAUGCAGCAACUCACCAGUCUCAAUAGAUAGGAUUAACUUGGAUUCUUCACAGGGAAUCCAAUUUCAUAAUUAUUUUGUUUAGUUUUAUCAUUUUAUUUUAUUUUUACUUUAUUUAAUGAAUUUAAAUGAAAAUAUCUAGAAAUCUAUCAGGAACUGGGACUCCAUUUUGUCCCCUGUAUGUGGGGCCUACUAUAAAACUGCAAAACCAAAAUUGUGGUUCAUAUUCUUUUAACAUCUCCAAUCUAAAGAGGAAAGAUAAAACUGAGAUACAGAGGAUUUGGUGUCCAAGGAGCCAGUGGAAUGCCUAAGGGCAGUUUAAAGCAAACUUGAAUGUUUACACAGUCUCAAACCACCCUUCUUUUCUGAACACACCAGGGGAGACAAAAUUUGUCAUCCUAGCAGGCAGGAGUGUAAGUACAUCUCCUGCAUACCUGCUGCCAAAGGGUAUUUGUAUGUUUGAAAGUUACUGCGGCAAAAGAAUGUCAAGCAAUGACUUAAAGACUGAUGAAGUGCUUUCUGGACAUCACUGAUGAAGUUCUCCUUAAAGCAGGUGGCCUAGCAUCAAACAAAAUAUAAAUAUACCUGCUGGAAAAAUAGAAUGAUUAGUUAACACCAUAGGGCAAACAAAUGUUAAACUGACCUCAAGUCCAAAGGAGAGAUGAAAGACAGAUGGGGGCUGGUGAAUGCACUUGAUAAUGUUGUUGGGAGCCUUAAAUCUGGUGGACAGAGAAACAGGAACCUUUGGAUGGAUGGAUGCAUAGGGUGACAAGGAUGAAACUAUGGAAAUCUGAAAUACUACCUCCUGGUACAUUUGCAUUUCAGGAAUCUGAGCACUUAAAUAGAGAGAGGCAGUGGCGAUGAAAUGGAAGAUAAGUUUUACUCAUGAAUUAGUUGUAAUCAUCUGUAAUAUUGUGUUAGCUGGAGAGCAAACGUUUAGGAGCAUGAUCAGGAAGAUUAGUUGAUUUUCCACUUGUAUCAUAUAACGUAUGAAUACAACAAAUUCUGCAACAUAUUAAAUAUAUAUGGAAUUAUUUUAUUUUAUUUUAACUUAUAGCAAAGGUGAUUUACUUCUUUACACAAGAAAGAUUCCUAUGACUAUUUGUAGUCAUAGAACUUAGCAGUCUAAGUUCCAAAGUUGAAACUUUAAUUGGAACUAUAGGAAAUCUCCUCUGAUAGCUCUGAUAAUAGAUAGCUCCUCUGAUACAUCUAACCAGUAAUAAUUUCACAUCUAUAGAUUUUUGAUGUGGCCUUUUAAUGUACUUUUGGAUCCUCCUGCAUGAUGAUGAUUCUGGUCUUGCAAGCUGCUGUGUGUAGGCAGCCCCUGACACCAGAGACCACUGCUGUGGGAGUUAGAAAGUCUGUGCUCAGAUGGAAAGGUCAAACUGCACAGAAUAGCUUGCAGGUUCAGAAGCCUGCCUGAAAUACUCUCAGCUUAGAACAAACCUGAAUUACUUUGUGAGUAUGAAACAUUUAACACGAGAGCCUGCAAAAAGUGGUAAAGGUUUUGUAUAUAGCUGUCUAAGAUGAGCUAACCUAAGACUUAAUUAGCUAUAAUAUACAAAGAAACCCUUUUUAAUAAAUAAUUAAAUAAUUAAAAUCCUGGCCUGUGACAGUAGCAAAAUCAGUUUUGCAGUUGGAAGUCUACUUCUGUGCUUUCUUUAUUAUUAAAUACAUCAUUUUAAGAAGGCAAUUUUGAACUGAAUAGAUGUGAAUCUAAGAACACCAAAACCCACUUUGUGUCUUGAUAGAAACAUUUUUUUUGUGUGUUUUGAUCCUGGAAAUUUCACAUCUCUCUUUUAACUUUCUUAAGAAAUAACAUUACUUCUGUUUCUCCAGUCGUUUACUUGCUUAAACUCCAGAGCAUACUGGUGUGCUGCAUAAUUGGAACAAAGCUUAAUAUUGUAAAUAAAAACCUUUACCUCCAAAUCUGCAGAGGAACUGUAUUUAAAGAAAUGAAACAAAAUAGAAUUUAAAUGCUUAAAUACAAGAUAAUGUUUAGAAACUUUAGCUGCCCACAAUCAAACAUUCCCAGCUGAAGUUUGAUUACUUUGGCUUGCAUUUAUCUGAUACUAAAAAAAAUAAGGAUUGGUUGUCAUCGAGGUAUUGGAAAGUGACAAAUAUAAUAUAAUUUCUAAAAAGAAUGACCAUCAACCCAGUACUGCAUACAGUAUGGAUGAAAGAAAGCCCUUUUUACCUAGCUUCAAAUUCCCCACAGCCUUCUGGAUUUUACAUAUUUACCACAGGUACUCAUAGAACUGAGUUGUUUGAAAUGUGAAAAUGUCUGAAUGUGUUUUCAGGAGCAGCCUGAAUAAUGUGGACAACACAUCAACAGAGAGCAAAACUAAUACAGAUACACUGAAUAAAAAGGACAGAGAGGGAGAAAAAGAUGUAGAUGAAAAUGCAUAACAACAGGGCAUAAAAACAGUGUCAAUAUCCUUAUCUAUUUAAUUAAUGUUGGAAAUAAGUUUAGUUACAAAUUAUGCAAUAAUAAUUAAUUAACAAUCUAACUCUAGAUUCUCAUGUCAUUAUUCAUCUUUAAAAAUAUUUGAUACAGUGGUUAUUGAUGAGUUUUGUAUUUUUCUAGUAGCUUUGCUAACCCCUGAUUAUUACUGCUCAUAUAUUGACCUUUUUGCCAUAUGUUUUGAUCAACUUUGAAUUAUUAGUAUUUAAAUUUUCUAACAGAUUAUUGAAGUCUCAAAAUACAAUGGUUUUUGUAGCAAAAUCAUUAAUGUGAUAAGAUGCAGAUCAAAAGGAGUGUUCACCACCGUGAAUACAAAUAGUACAAUAUGAAUUAAUAUGAAAAAAUGAAACACUGUGAACAACAGACUUCCAUUAAUGUGUUAGUGAGCAUAUUAAUGACAAAAUUGCUGAAAGAUACAAUGAAAAGUCUCAACUAAGAAAAAAAAUAUGGAACAUUUCUCAGAAUAUAAAUGAAUUCCUAAAUGAAACAAUUUAAAGGUUAAUUUGGUAUUAUUUCCUGGAUAUGUGUGUCAAAUUUAUUCAUUGAUCAAAAGCACUCUUUUACACAAACAAACAGAUAAAUGCCCUUGAUAAUAAACAGCAUUUGAAAUGCUACAUCAGGUGAUAGUGCAGACUACUUUCCUUUGGUCUAGUGAGUCAUUCAGGGAGUAAGACUAUCUUAUCCACACAGACCCAGUGUACUGAAAUUUAUGACAGUCAUUCACAGUUUGGGGGCUGCUAGAUUGCAUAUGUUCUUUCAAAGAGAUCUUAUUAGGUAUUCUGCUGCUGAGGCAUCUGCUGGUCAGGGUAAUCUUGAUGCAGGUCAUGUAGAAGACUUGUGGACAUGAAGAACAGCAUUUUUCCAUUACUAGCUUGAUUCCAAAACCAAUGAACUAUUAGCUAUGGUGGUGCAGGAGACUUUUCACCAGUGUUUUAUUAAGAAGUCCAGGGUCUCUAAAUUUGGCAGUGCCCAUGGGCCAUAGUUAUAUUCUACUAAUGAGAAAAUUAUGAUACUGACAUCAGCUUCCCAAUCCUUUUCCCUAAAGAAAACACAUAGCAUAUUAAUCUGUAUAAUUAAUGUCAUGUUUCUUCAUAUCCUCUCUCUCCAAUUAUCCUCAAAAUAAUUCUGUUUGACUCCAAAUACCUGAAAUCUUUAAAAACUUUAUACCAAUAUCUCUAUGGUAGAUCUCUUUGAGUGUAGUUGUAACUCAUAACAAAAACAUUGUAUUUCUGUUAACGUAUGGAUAAUUACAUCAGAAGUCACAUACAGACCAUCAUGAGAAUAAUGCUCGUUCUUAUUGCUGUAUUUUGAAAUUUAAAGAUCCUUAGCACUGAAUAAGUGACAGAAGUAUGCACAAUAAAUUUAUACUAUUGCUUUUAAACUCAUAUCUGCCUUUUUGAUAGUAGAGAACAGCAGAGAAAAUAAUUAAAUACCUACAAAAAUAUUUUGUUUGUAUGUGGUGUUUUGGAGAGAAAGGUAGGUAAGAUUUAUUUAUAUUAAUAAUGUGUCACCAUUUUAUGUACCAGAAACUGCAUAGUUAAUAACUGCACUUGAGUUACAGUGAAGAUUUUCAAUACUUUCAAAUGAAAUUUUAUAUAAAUUCUGAUUUGUUUUAAUAAAAUUUAAAUGUUUGGUAACAGCUUAUUCUUUUUGUUGGAGAGUUUUAUGUUCCAUAGUUACAUUGACUUAAAUUGGCUGAGAUGUGUGAGUUUUAAUGAUUCACCUAGAAAGUUAUAUAGACCAGUGUUCAGAACAAGAGCAACGGGAAGUAAGUCAGCAAGAGAAACAAGACACGUAAAAGUGACUGCCUGCAAACCAGUAGCUUCGCCCAAGAUCUAUCAACUGCUACUAGGUGCUUAUGAAGUGUACCAGGCUUGGAGCUGAUAAGGACUGGAAAAUGACCUGAAAAUUUUUUAAAUGCAAAGCAGCUCCUAUAAGAGCCACCUGGAAGUGUGGCCCAUAACCAAUGUUGGUGUUUUUUUUAUUAUUAUUAUUUUUUAUUUUUUGUAUAUCAAUAAAUACUUAGAAGAGAACAAAAAGCACUCUAGAGAUGUCUCAAGAAAGAGGAAGGCCUGAUGUCCUUCUCUUUGUAAUAGAAAUACUUUGUUAUGAAGCUCAACUUCAUUCAGAUCUUUGGAGAUAGGGACUUGCAGCCUGGAAUGUUGAGAAUAACACAUUUUCAAUAUGAGCUGAAGGAACUCGAGCUGUUUAGUCUGGGGAAAAGGAGGCUGAGGGGAGACCUUAUUGCUCUCUUCCAAUAUUUGAAACGUGCUUACAGCGAGAGCGAGGUUGGCCUCCUCUCACUCGUGACAGGUGACAGGACAAGGGGAAAUGGCCUCAAGUUGCACCAGGGUGAGUUUAGGUUGGAUAUCAGGAAGCACUUCUUUACAGAAAGGGUUGUUAAGCACUGGAAUAGGCUCCCCAGGGAGGAGGUUGAGUCACCAUUGCUGGAUGUGUUUAAAAACCACUCAGAUGUGGUGUUCAGGGACAUGAUUUAGCAGAGGGUUGUUAGAGUUAGGGUAGGAUGGUUAGUUUGUGGUUGGACUCAGCAAUCUUUAAGGUCUUUUCCAACCUGAGCAAUUCUAUAAUUCUCUAUGAUUCCCAUUGAAAAAUAAUGUUCUCAGUUAAAAACCAGUGUUGAUGAGAAACUGUAAAAUACUUAAGUGGUUUUUUUUUUAAUAAAAUAGGCCAACAGUAUGAACAAGAAACUCUUGACAUAUCUGAAAAAAAAUAAUUGUACAGGAGUGCAACUGGAAUGCUUUCAUUGCAAAGAAAAUAUUGCUCAUAAAAACAAUGAGAAGAGGGUUUUGAGUAAACAGAAUGGUAUGCUUCUGGACAACAUAUGUUUAUAAAUAUUUAAAACUUCAAAUCAAACAGUUUCUGAAGAAAAGAACAAACGAAACCUGGUUUCCUAUGGAUUUGUGCCCUAAUUCUUUUACACAAUUUCUCUUCUAUUCCCAGUACCAGCCUCCCCUGAGCAGGCUGCUAUAUUUGCAAUGGUUAAGCUGUGCUGCAUGUGUGCCCCCUGGCUAACUUUCUUCUUGCUGCUAUGUGGGACUGUCUGUAUCACCUCUGGGGAAGGAAAGAGGAAAGAAAAUUCAAUAUUGAAAUCUGAAAGACAAAUUCUAUUUCCUAUUACAACCAGUGUUCUGGGAGGAGGUUCA